rnacentral:rRNA from 1 species
AACGAACGCUGGCGGCAUGCCUAACACAUGCAAGUCGAACGAGACCUUCGGGUCUAGUGGCGCACGGGUGCGUAACGCGUGGGAACCUGCCCUUAGGUUCGGAAUAACUCCCCGAAAGGGGUGCUAAUACCGGAUAAUGUCUUCGGACCAAAGAUUUAUCGCCUUUGGAUGGGCCCGCGUUGGAUUAGCUAGUUGGUAGGGUAAAAGCCUACCAAGGCGACGAUCCAUAGCUGGUCUGAGAGGAUGAUCAGCCACACUGGGACUGAGACACGGCCCAGACUCCUACGGGAGGCAGCAGUGGGGAAUAUUGGACAAGGGGCGAAGGCCUGAUCCAGCAAUGCCGCGUGAGUGAUGAAGGCCUUAGGGUUGUAAAGCUCCUUUACCCGGGAUGAUAAUGACAGUACCGGGAGAAUAAGCUCCGGCUAACUCCGUG